rnacentral:rRNA from 1 species
UAACCUGCCCAAGAGAUCGGGAUAACACCUGGAAACAGAUGCUAAUACCGGAUAAUAACAGAUGAUGCCUAUCAACUGUUUAAAAGAUGGUUCUGCUAUCACUCUUGGAUGGACCUGCGGUGCAUUAGCUAGUUGGUAGGGUAACGGCCUACCAAGGCGAUGAUGCAUAGCCGAGUUGAGAGACUGAUCGGCCACAUUGGGACUGAGACACGGCCCAAACUCCUACGGGAGGCAGCAGUU